UACGGAGGGAGCUAGCGUUGUUCGGAUCUACUGGGCGUAAAGCGCACGUAGGCGGCGCCGUAAGUCAGGGGUGAAAUCCCGGAGCUCAACUCCGGAACUGCCCUUGAAACUGCAGUGCUAGAAUUCUGGAGAGGCGAGUGGAACUCCGAGUGUAGAGGUGAAAUUCGUAGAUAUUCGGAAGAACACCAGUGGCGAAGGCGACUCGCUGGACAGACAUUGACGCUGAGGUGCGAAAGCGUGGGUAGCAAACAGG
rnacentral:rRNA from 1 species